UAAACCAUGAACUAGGAAGCUCUUUACUUCCUUAUCGUUCCAAGUCCUGCCUCCCCUACCCUGCAGGAAACUCUGGAAAUACGUUCUGGAAAAAAUGGAGGCAUUUUUAUGACUCUCUCCUCACCUAAACCUGCUGGGCCAGGACAGAGCCCAGACCCUCAGGCCCUGACCGUUAUUCUACAGUUUGGACCUGGCCACUCCCCAGCUUUGAUGUUGUCUUGCUAAAUGUCCCUGAGUCACUGGCAGGCUCUGAUCUCUCCAGCACCUAAUAACUCAAACAGCCUGAAGUAGUGAGCAGCUAAUCAGCUCGGCAGCCCUGGCAGCUGCACAAUGAAGCCGAAGAGAAAGGGGGUCCCUUUCAUUCUUAUGGUCUUGUUCUACAACCUGAUGGCCGAGGCAGACACCAUCAUCCGCUGGCCAGGAGGGGUCUCUGGAGGAGUUGAGAAGGGUCAACUUGGCCCUGGACUGAGAUGGCCAUCUGCAGGUUAUCCAGGUUCCACUAGGAAGCCCUGUGACAUCAGUCCAGCGCAGAAGCGUGUGCUCUCAACAGCGAAGGAAAGCCUGAGCCAGGACACUGUUCACCUGGAGGACAUGGAAGGAGGGCUAUCAGGAUGCUGGAGGCUGCAGAGCCGAGUAAGGAGAGGAGAGUCUGUGUUUGGCCAUCAUCUGCAGGAGCCUUGAAGUGUCAUCCUCCAUACUGUGGCUCCUUUAUGCUCUCCCCAUUUGGUGGCCACCGCAGGGCUCCAGACGAGACUGAGGAGCAUUGAUUGACAUGGACAUAUUAAUUGGCUUUGCUUAUCCUCAAUUCUAGUCCCCUCUCCUCUCCUCUGCUCUGUCUGCAGGGAAGCCAAGCCCUGAAGGCCACCUGUCUCUGCUUGCCAGCUGCUUCUGACUGGCUUCAGCCAAUUAGAGUUACUGGUGGGAGAUGGGGGGCAGGGAAGGGGGGAACUUACUGUAUUUGUUCCUCUUUCCCAGCAUCUCAGCCAAUGGCUGCAGUGGCCUCUCCUCUGUGGGUCCAGGCCCCAGGGAAGCCCUUCCAGCAGCAGUAGGGCCUUACAGCAAUUCUAGCCCUGUGCCAAACAGGGCUCGAUUUUGCUCUGCUCACACUAACUCUCUUGCAAUCCCCCCCUGGGGAUUGUAGCCACCUGUAACAGUGUAAUAAUCUCUGAAUUGUGUCUUCUAUUUUACUUCUCAGAAAUUCCACCUCUUGUGUCCCAAUUCCCUGAAUUACAUGUUUGGAAUACUUAAUUUUUGCUUUUAUGACUGGAUCCUGAAUGAUAUACCCCCAACAAGGUCAUUGAAUGAGGUUCCCGUUCCCAACCAAUCUGUAGCAGGUGGUGGGAAAGGGUGCCGACGCGAUGUCCUCACCCUGCAGAGAAGCACUUGUGGAAAGCCCAGGUCUGGCUGUCUGGCCGGCCGAGCCCUCCCUCUAGCGGCCCUCAACUCUGUUUCAUUGUGAAGAUUCCCACUCUACCUCUUUAGGGGAAAGUGAGGCAGACAGCCAGCCCUUCCCUGUUGAUUAGGAAACUGGGCUCAGAGCCUGGGCUGUCCCAGUGGCUUUACAGGUACCUCCUCUGCAUGAAUUCUGUUUGUUAGGUAACAGAAGAGAUCAGAGAAAUAACAAAGAACUGAAAUCUGCUUCUCCAGAGCCCUACCCACCCCCCAACACUGAUUUGAUUUUGAUUCAAAUCUGCCUUUUCUCUGGCUCCUUCCUGGUUGUUGCUAAAUGUCUGGAGCUAGAAAGGUCAUUGCAAAUGCCCCAUUAAGAAGCAGGCAUUGUGGACCUGGGUGUCUGCUGAAAACAGAAAGCAGAGGAACUCAAAAAGUGAGGGGAUGGUGGCAUCAGUGCUGGAGCACACAUUUUGUGAGACAAGCCCCCUUGCCAAGUGACGCUUUAAAGCCCUUUCAGCUCACGUGCUUCAAGAAGAAAAUAACUAAACUUUUCUGUCAAGGAUCACCUGGCUCUCCACAGCCCCUUACUUAGGAUGUUUUGUUCCCACUGGAGCAUGUGAUUGGAAAACAAAGGUAAAUGGGAGCAAUUUAUUCUGCAUUAUUUUUCCCCCAGCAGGAUUAAAGCCACCUCAGCCAUAAAGAGUUUACAAACUCAAAAAAGAUAAUAACUUCCCUUCUCACGGCCCGGUCACAGGGAGGGAAUGCAUGUUUCCAAUCAGCUGAGAAUGUAACUCCAAUGGUAGGUUUUAUUUCAGUUUAAUCCGCCUGUGGGUUCAUGUUAAAGGUAAGAGGAAUCACAGCCUUGCAAUGGGAACUGAGUUCAUUAAAUCUAGCA